rnacentral:rRNA from 1 species
CUUGAUAAGUGCUGAAAGCAUCUAAGCACGAAGCAAACCUCAAGAUUAAAGCCGUUCCGCUUUAAGCGGACACAAUUCCUGGGAGACUACCAGGUUGAUAGGCCGUAGGUGUAAGCACAGCAAUGUGUUCAGCCGAGCGGUACUAAUUAUUUGUGAGUCUUUACUUAC